CACACACACACUCAGGGUUUUCAUAUCUUUAAAAUGAAGUCCAACACAACAUGUUUAACCCUGUGUUAUAAUUUAGAACUAAUUUUCAAAGUACCAUGAGGUUUGAAGGUUAAAGGCAAGAUCGACAUGCAGAACCAGUGAACAGAUGCCUGGGGCAGGUGUGCCUGGGUCCCCUUGCUGUCAUCUCUUGGAGAGUCCAACAAACGCACUGACCACAGGUCUUCUCACAGCUCUCACAGCCCUUCCCACCGCCCCACUUAUGGCCCCAAUUCCGCAUCACGUCCUCAUUCUCCUUAAGUACUCCCAGAAUGAAAGCAUUGAUAGAUUCCAGACCUGCAGAAAGUGUCAACCAGAGGCCAGUCCCUGAGAUAAAGCAUCUUCAACUUCCCAGUACCCAUAAAGAGAAGGGAACCUAAUAAAAAAAAUAAUUAAUAUUCACAGCUA